AUUGAACGCUGGCGGCAUGCCUUACACAUGCAAGUCGAACGGUAACAGGCCGCAAGGUGCUGACGAGUGGCGAACGGGGGAGUAAUGCAUCGGAACGUGCCCAGUAGUGGGGGAUAGCCCGGCGAAAGCCGGAUUAAUACCGCAUACGACCUGAGGGGGAAAGGGGGGGCUCGCAAGACCUCCGGAUAUUGUAGCGGCCGAGGACAGAUUAGCUAGAUGGUGGGGUAAAGGCCUACCAAGGCAACGAUCUGUAGUUGGUCUGAGAGGACGACCAGCCACACUGGGACUGAGACACGGCCCAGACGCCUACGGGAGGCAGCAGUGGGGAAUUUUGGACAAUGGGCGCAAGCCUGAUCCAGCAAUGCCGCGUGCAGGAAGAAGGCCUUCGGGUUGUAGACUGCUUUUGUCAGGGAAGAAAUCUUCUGGGUUAAUACCUCGGGAGGAUGACGGUACCUGAAGAAUAAGCACCGGCUAACUACGUGCCAGCCGCCGCCGUAACAC
rnacentral:rRNA from 1 species